UACGUAGGGGGCAAGCGUUAUCCGGAUUUACUGGGUGUAAAGGGAGCGCAGGCGGCGCGGUAAGUCUGAUGUGAAAGCCCGGGGCUCAACCCCGGGACUGCAUUGGAAACUGUCGUGCUGGAGUGUCGGAGGGGCAAGUGGAAUUCCUAGUGUAGCGGUGAAAUGCGUAGAUAUUAGGAGGAACACCAGUGGCGAAGGCGGCUUGCUGGACGACAACUGACGCUGAGGCUCGAAAGCGUGGGGAGCAAACAGG
rnacentral:rRNA from 1 species